rnacentral:rRNA from 1 species
GCAGUCGCACGGUAUUGGGUUUCGGCUGGUGCAGUGGCGGACGGGUGAGUAUCGCGUAGGGAUUUAUCGUUGGGUGGGGGAUAACCGCGGGAAACUGCGGCUAAUACCGCAUGACGCCUGAGGGCCAAAGGUCUGGUAACGGACUGCCUGAUGAGGAGCCUGCGUCCGAUUAGUUAGUUGGUUGGGUAAUGGCUGACCAAGGCGAUGAUCGGUAGCUGGUCUGAGAGGAUGAUCAGCCACACUGGGACUGAGACACGGCCCAGACUCCUACGGGAGGCAGCAGUGGGGAAUAUUGGACAAUGGGCGCAAGCCUGAUCCAGCAAUGCCGCGUGGAUGAAGAAGGUCUUCGGAUUGUAAAGUCCUUUCGGCGGGGACGAUGAUGACGGUACCCGCAGAAGAAGCCCCGGCUAACUUCGUGCCAGCAGCCGCGGUAAUACGAAGGGGGCUAGCGUUGCUCGGAAUGACUGNGCGUAAAAGGGCGCGUAGGCGGAUUGAUCAGUCAGGCGUGAAAUUCCU